GCUUCGGUAGCUCAGCGGUAGUAGCGGUUCCUUUACACGGAAAUGGUCGGGGGUUCGAUCCCCUCUCGAAGCAC
rnacentral:tRNA from 1 species